rnacentral:lncRNA from 1 species
GGAGAAUAAAGCAUGAAAGGAAACUGUAGGGCUAGUUACCAGGCAACACAAAAUAUGUAACCUGAAACCCGACAAGCAUGUUAAUUUCCUAGCAAGCCUCCCAGAUGUCCUCACUUCAUGGCCAACACUCAGUUUCAGUUUCAAUUUGUUUAUUUGCCCUUCUUCAGUCACGAACGGUGGAGCUGAAAAUAUUGGAAGAGAGGAAAGAAGGUCAUUGCACCAGAAGGGAGCUGAACCAGGUGAGAAAGUGAGCCUCGGGAAGAGAGAAAGAGAAAAAGGAAAGCAAGAGGAGUCAAGGAUGAAGGGAAGGCGAUGUGGUGUGAAGAUGGUGAAUGGACUGAUGCCCGCAGAGGAUGGAGGAAGAGGCCACAAGCCAAGGGACACGCACAGUUUCUCGAAACUGGAAAAGGCAAGCAGAUUCUUCUCUAGAUCCUCCAAAAGGAACCAGUCCCACUGACACCUUGACAUUAGCCCAGUGAAACUGAUUUUGAGCUUAAGGCUUCUGGAGCCAUCAGAAAAAUACAUUUGUGUUGUCCUG